UAAACGCCUACCAUGGCGACGAUUCGUAAGCCUGAUCCGAGGCGAUGAUCAGCCCACACCGGGACUGAGACACGACCCGAACUCCUACGGGAGGCAGCAGUCGGGAAUAUCGGACAACUGCGGGAAACGUGAUCCAGCCAUGCCGCGUGUGUGACGAAGGCUUCUCGCUUGUAAAGCACUUUAAGCAGUGAAGAAGACGUAACGGCUAAUACCCGUUAGCGAUGACAUCAGCUGCAGAAUAAGCACCGGCUAACUCUGUGCCAGCAGCCGCGGUAAUACAGAGCGUGCAAGCGUUAAUCGGAAUUACUGGGCGUAAAGCGAGCGUAGGUGGCUUGAUAAGUCAGAUGUGAAAUCCCCGGGCUUACCCUGGGAACUGCAUCUGAAACUGUUAGGCUAGAGUAGGUGAGAGGGAAGAAGAAUCUCCCGGUGUAGCGGUGAAAUGCGUAGAGAUCUGAAGGAAUACCGAUUGGGCGAAGGCAGCUUCCUGGCAUCAUACUGACACUGAGGCUUCGAAAGCGUGGGUAGCAAAACAGGAAUUAGAUACCCCUGGUAGUCCACGCCGUAAACGAUGUCUACUAGUCGUUGGGGUCCCUUAAGGACUUAGUGACGCAGCUAACGCAAUAAGUAGACCGCCUGGGGAGUACGGCCGCAAGGUUAAAACUCAAAUGAAUCGACGGGGGCCCGCACAAGCGGUGGAGCCCCUGGUUUAAUUCGACGCAACGCGAAGAACCCCCCCCCGCCUUGACCCCCACAGAAUCUCGUAGAGCCCCGAGAGUGCCUUCGGGAACUGUGAUACAGGUGCUGCAUGGCUGUCGUCAGCUCGUGUCGUGAGAUGUUGGGUUAAGUCCCCCAACGAGCGCAACCCUUGUCCUUAGUUACCAGCGGGUUAAGCCGGGAACUCUAAGGAUACUGCCAGUGACAAACCCGA
rnacentral:rRNA from 1 species